GCUCUCAGAGUCUGGCCUUCUGCUGGGCCCCGGGUCUCUCACUGGCAGAAUGGAGUUCUCGGAGCUGAUCCAUACGGGCUGAGCCCAAGCAGAGUUUCUACGGGGCCCGGAGGCGCCCCCGCUUCGCGGCACGGUGUGAGUCACCGUCCACCACCUGCUCCUGUCGCCAGGGCCCGCGUCCUCUCCGGACCUGUGGCUGCUGCUGUUGCGUAGCGUCGACUCCUUCGAGAAGCAAGGGCGUCCCCUGCAGGAGAGCUUCAUGCGCCUGGUGGAGGCCUGUGGGGACUCGGAGCAAAGCAUGGACAACUGGCUGAGUCGGCUGGACGGCUGCCGCUGACUGUAACAUGUAAAGCAGGCACUGAGCACCACCUGCCUGGCAGUCCAGGGCAUGGAGAGGCACAGACAGCACCCUGCUUGUGACUUCACUGGCCCAACUCAUCCUGGACCCCUUGAGCAAGACCAUGGCUGGAUUCCAGGAACUGGUGGAGUGGAAGUGGAUCCAGGAAAAUGCCGUGUGAAGGGAGGACUCAGAUGCACUCCCUGUGGUCUGGGCUCAACCAGCCAAAAGAGCAACAAAGACUCCAGAACCCACUCUACCUCCUCAAUCCCUUGGCCAUCUGUGGAGCCCCAGAGCCUGCGGCUGUGGCAAGGCCUGUUUCUGCGCUGGACCUGCUCACCUGAGCCUGCAGAAGCUGCAUGGGGGAAGAGUGUGGCAAAUAGUGACAGGAAGGGAGAAGACAGAAGCCUCUCAGCCAACUGCUUCAGCCGAGCCCCUAUUCUAAGCACUGGCUCCUUGGAUAGCAGCUGAGAUGUUCCUGAAACCUCUGCAGGCCCCUUAGGACCUUUACACCUUGGAUGAGGGUGCCUGCAACCCAGGUUAGCCAAAAGUACUGAGGGUCUUAAGUUUGAAGUGUCCAAAGUAUAGGGAGGUCUCAAUAAUAAAAGUCUCCAUGAUCAGC
rnacentral:lncRNA from 1 species